rnacentral:rRNA from 1 species
UACGAAGGGGGCUAGCGUUGUUCGGAUUUACUGGGCGUAAAGCGCACGUAGGCGGAUCGUUAAGUCGGGGGUGAAAUCCUGGAGCUCAACUCCAGAACUGCCUUCGAUACUGGCGAUCUUGAGUCCGGAAGAGGUGAGUGGAACUCCUAGUGUAGAGGUGGAAUUCGUAGAUAUUAGGAAGAACACCAGUGGCGAAGGCGACUACCUGGCCUGUUCUUGACGCUGAGGCGCGAAAGCUAGGGGAGCAAACGGG